GACGAACGCUGGCGGCGUGCUUAACACAUGCAAGUCGAACGGAAAGGCCCUGCUUUUGUGGGGUGCUCGAGUGGCGAACGGGUUAGUAACUCGUGAGUAACCUGCCCUUGACUUUGGGAUAACUUCAGGAAACUGGGGCUAAUACCGGAUAGGAGCUCCGGCUGCAUGGUGGGGGUUGGAAAGUUUCGGCGGUUGGGGAUGGACUCGCGGCAUAUCAGCUUGUUGGUGGGGUAGUGGCUUACCAAGGCUUUGACGGGUAGCCGGCCUGAGAGGGUGACCGGCCACAUUGGGACUGAGAUACGGCCCAGACUCCUACGGGAGGCAGCAGUGGGGAAUAGUGCACUAUGAGCGGAAGCCUGAUGCAGCAACGCCGCGUGCGGGAUGACGGGCUUCGGGUUGUAAACCGCUUUCGCCUGUGACGAAGCGUGAGUGACGGUAAUGGGUAAAGAAGCACCGGCUAACUACGUG
rnacentral:rRNA from 1 species